GGUUUAAUUCCGACAAUCUCCCAGUCAGAAAGGUCUUUGUAAAUAGGGGAUUCACAUUCAUUACCAACAUGAAACAACUGCUGCUCCUAGUUCUCCCGUGUAUUGUUGCAAUAGUUUUGGUGAAUGUAAAUGCACAAGCAGGUUUCGGUGGCGGUGGUAAAAGUGUCGGUGGUGCCGGCGGUUAUGGUGGCAUGGGUGGCUAUUCAAUGAAUUCUGUUUACUAUCCGUACCCCGUCCAGAGCAGAUCAAGACCAAGCGUUAUCGGACCACUACUGCAAGAAAUCCAGGCAGAAAACAACAGAGCAAUGAUUGCAAAUCUUUUUGCUUGGGGCUUGCUCUUAGCAGUAAUGAAUAACUUAACAGGAAUUAUCAGUUAAGGAAAAUUUGAUGAAAACUAAUGUGUUUAAAGGGGGUAUUUGGCGACCAGACAUCAGGUGUUGACAAUUUAUAAUAAAUUAGUUAAUUUA